GAUGAAGAACGUAGCGAAAUGCGAUACGUAAUGUGAAUUGCAGAAUUCAGUGAAUCAUCGAAUCUUUGAACGCAUAUUGCGCUCUCUGGUAUUCCGGAGAGCAUGCUUGUUUGAGUAUCAGUAAACACCUCAACUCCCUUUUCUUUUUUGAAAUUGGAGCUGGACUUGAGUGAUCCCAACGCUUUCUUCCAAGAAAGUGGCGGGUUGCUUGAAAUGCAGGUGCAGCUGAACUUUUCUCUGAGCUAUAAGCAUAUCUAUUUAGUCUGCCUAAAAAACAGAUUAUUACCUUUGCUGCAGCUAACAUAAAGGAGACUAGUUCUUGUGCUGACUGAUGCAGGAUUCACAGAGACAGCUUCGGCUGACUUUGUAAACUCGAUCUCAAAUCAAGUAAGACUACCCGCUGAACUUAAGCAUAUCAAUAAACGGAGGA
rnacentral:misc_RNA from 1 species